CAGCCCCACCAGGCUGGGAUUGGGUGACUCUGUGACCCUGCACUGCGGGUCCCAGCACCCCCAGGAUGUUCCACAGCCCACAGGAACUGCAGCUUGUCCUUUUCGGGCCGGUUUCUGAAAACCCCUGGCUCUUGUGCUGGGCUGCACCUCCCGUCCGGGUACCCCGGGCUGACAGCGGGGCCGCUCCGGUCCCUGCCGCGGGCUCUGCCCGCUCGGAGCAGCAAGGCCGGCGGUGGGGAGGGGUUCCCGGAGGGCAGAGCCCGUCCCGCGGGGCUGCGGGGACGUUUCUAGGCAGGCUCCGCGCUCAACAGCCCCGUUGCUACGGCUGCGGGGCCUUCCAGGCCGGACCCCGCGCGGCGCGGCCCCUGUCGCCAUGGGAACGGGCCCUUCCGGAGCGGGCGGCGAUCGGCACGGCCGAGCCAAAGAACAACAUCAGCCUGCUGCGUGAGAAGCUGCUGCGGGCAAAGGAAAUCAAGGCAAGAAAGAAGACCCCGAGGGAGAACCGCCAGAACCUCCUGUAUCCAAACCAGCGUGGUCGGCAGGACAAGGGCAGUGACCCUUCCCCUGUGCUCUGCAUUGGGGAGGCCACACCUGGAGUGUUGUGUUCAGUUCUGGGCCCCUCAGCUCAGGAAAGAGAUUGAAGUGCUGGAGCGGGUCCAGAGAAGAGCAACAAGACUGUGGGGAAGGGACUGAACACAAGACCCAUGGGGAGAGGCUGAGGGAGCUGGGCUUGUUUAGUCUGGAGAAGAGGAGGCUUAGAGCUGAGCUCAGCACUCUCUAGAACUACCUGAAGGGCAGUUCUAGCCAGGUGGGGAUUGGGCUCUUCUCCCAGGCAUCAGCAAUAGGACAAGGGGCCAUGGGCUUCAACUCUGCCAGGGGAAAUUGAGGCUGGAGAUUAGGAAGCAAUUCUUUGCAGAGAGAGUGGUCAGGAUUGGAAUGGCUGCCCAGGGAGGUGCUGGACUCGCCGGCCAUGGAGGGUUUUAAGCUGAGAUUGGACAUGGCGCUUAGUACCAUGAUCUAGUAAACGGACUGGAGUUGGACCAAGGGCUGGACUGGAUGAUCUCUGAGGGCUUUUCCAACCCAGUCCAUUCUGUGAUUCUGUAAUGCCGAGCUGGAAAGAGCAGCGUGGCUCCGGACAGGUGUGUGCCCCGCCACCCCCUCCCUGCCCCGCGCUGGGUCCCCCGGUGUCACCUCCAGCGUUUCCCUCUCCUCGCAGCGCUGAUCCCCCUCGACGAGCUCAGAGCUGAGCGGGAGCAGAGCAGCGGCCCGUUCCACAAGCAGCGCGUGGCCGAGCACUGCGCGGUGUUUCGUGACUUGUUCCGAGGGGCCACGUUCCCCCCGGGUCACCUUGAGGGUGGCGUACAGCCAGGCAGACGAGCACGCCGUGCCGGUCUGCUAUGGGAACAUGGUGACUCCGUCAGAGGAGUGGGGGGUGCGGGGCACAGCCUUGGCCCCACGGGAAGCCUCGGUGGUUUCCUCAGACGCUCCCGAUGGGCAUUGUCUGCCCCGGGGGGUUUUGUUUAGAAGGGUAUUUGCUCUGUGAUGAUCCAAACUUGUUUCUUGGACGUGAUAAAGACAGAGCGUUGCAGCAGGACGGCUGUCUGUCAGCAGGCUGAUGCUUCUGAAGGCUCUGGGGGCUCUCCGGUGGAGCUGGAUGACUUGGUGUCGCGGCCAUGCCUGGUCUGUGCUGGGUCCUGGCCGUGCCCGUGCCCGGUUCGUGUUCUUUGCCUUGGAAAUCAUGACCUGAUCUUAAUGGAACGUGUUGUUGCAGUGACAGACAUUCUGUUUUGUGGCUCAUUUAGGCUUCCAGUCCUCCCGCAGUGUCAUCCCAGGCAGAUAAAGGCUCCCUGCGGACUGUGCUGCUCACAAACCCAGAAGGACGUUGAAGGGACGCGCACUCGGAGCACCCGCGCUGGCUGGAGACGAACAUCCCAGGCAACGACAUGCAGUGGGGUAAGGAGAUCUGCCGCCACCUGCCCCCCUUCCCGCCAUGGGCACUGGCUGCCAUCGCUUCAUCUUCUGCCCUUCAAGCCAGAACCGCCCGUCGACUCCAGCGAGGAUGUUGGCGCAGGCCCUGGUCACUGGGGCUGUUGCUGGGCGGUUCACGCUCUCUUGGCCAGGCUGUUCUUGCGUGUUCUGGUGACAAGGUCGUGACUGCUGGAGGAGAGCAAGUUCCUUGGAGUCUGCAGGGUUGCUCAGGGCUGCUCUGAGUUUGUGUGUCGCCUGAAGCCGCAAUCCCAGCCCUGCAAGCACUGUGCUGUCCUGUUGCUUUCAACCAGGCCGGUAAGAAAGUGGGUUUUUUCCUGCCUGGAGCAGGAAUGUGCAGAGGGCUGGGGAAGCUGGGAGGAGUUUCAAUGUGCCUUCCUUUUCCACCUCUGUUUUACAGACUCGGGGGUGCUGUGGGGAAGUAGUUGCCAGCCAGAGUGCUGCAAGAAACGGGAAUCACCUCAGCUCUUGUGCUUGUGUCUUGUUUCCAGCCACAGGCUCGAGAUGUGAACCUUGCGCACGUGUGACUUGUACAGAAAGCACGAGGAUGCCGUGACCCCGGCAGGGCUGCCGUUCCAACAGUGUUUCGAUGUUACAUUCUAUGGAAACGCCGUAGAACAAAUUGUGGCUGCUGUUGUUUAUCUGCUACAAUUUCUGUAGCAUUUUUAGACAAUUUUCGAAGUCGACUCUCGGCAGGAAUCCAGGAUCUUGUGCUGACCUGCAUGUUGCUCCUUCUGCACGUUGUCCUCGAUUAAUGCUGACCUGAGGGAUUUAUCUGCAGCACAACACGGUGUAGAUACUAAAUCAGGUCUGGAAGCCAUCUCAGGAGAUGGAUUAGCUCGUCAUUGCACCAAAAAUAGAAGGAAUGCUACUUCCUUGUUUCCUGUGCUUAUGUAAUAAGGCACAUACGUGGUAGUAACAGAGCCCGUGGCCCCUGUACUUCAUGUGCUUAUAACAGAGUAAAAAUAAAUUGUUAAAAUGAA